rnacentral:rRNA from 1 species
UAAUACAUGCAAGUCGAGCGGACCGACGGGAGCUUGCUCCCUUAGGUCAGCGGCGGACGGGUGAGUAACACGUGGGUAACCUGCCUGUAAGACUGGGAUAACUCCGGGAAACCGGGGCUAAUACCGGAUGCUUGAUUGAACCGCAUGGUUCAAUUAUAAAAGGUGGCUUUUAGCUACCACUUACAGAUGGACCCGCGGCGCAUUAGCUAGUUGGUGAGGUAACGGCUCACCAAGGCGACGAUGCGUAGCCGACCUGAGAGGGUGAUCGGCCACACUGGGACUGAGACACGGCCCAGACUCCUACGGGAGGCAGCAGUAGGGAAUCUUCCGCAAUGGACGAAAGUCUGACGGAGCAACGCCGCGUGAGUGAUGAAGGUUUUCGGAUCGUAAAACUCUGUUGUUAGGGAAGAACAAGUACCGUUCGAAUAGGGCGGUACCUUGACGGUACCUAACCAGAAAGCCACGGCUAACUACGUGCCAGCAGCCGCGGUAAUACGUAGGUGGCAAGCGUUGUCCGGAAUUAUUGGGCGUAAAGCGCGCGCAGGCGGUUUCUUAAGUCUGAUGUGAAAGCCCCCGGCUCAACCGGGGAGGGUCAUUGGAAACUGGGGAACUUGAGUGCAGAAGAGGAGAGUGGAAUUCCACGUGUAGCGGUGAAAUGCGUAGAGAUGUGGAGGAACACCAGUGGCGAAGGCGACUCUCUGGUCUGUAACUGACGCUGAGGCGCGAAAGCGUGGGGAGCGAACAGGAUUAGAUACCCUGGUAGUCCACGCCGUAAACGAUGAGUGCUAAGUGUUAGAGGGUUUCCGCCCUUUAGUGCUGCAGCAAACGCAUUAAGCACUCCCCCUGGGGAGUACGGUCGCAAGACUGGGGAACAAUUG